UCGGUCAAGCCACAACACUUCCGGUUCAUGUUAGAUUCAGUCAUUAGCUGCUUUACAGCUGCUAACUACGUUGUUUGUUUGUUUUUUUUACACAAACAAUAUAAUACAUUUUCAUAGAAAUCAUUUUGUUUUACGAAUGAAUAAACAGGAAGUCUUAAAGGUUGAUAGUCUAAAACAGACCUUGUUCAGAUAUUUUGGCCAGAAUGAAAGUGCACUUUGUACCAAAUGUGAGAAACCUUUCCUCGGUCACCGCCAUUACGAGAGAAAAGGUUUGGCUUACUGUGAGACGCAUUACAAUCAGCUCUUUGGGGACGUGUGUUAUCACUGCAACCGUGUGAUUGAAGGCGAUGUUGUGUCUGCUCUCAACAAAGCCUGGUGUGUCAGUUGUUUCUCCUGCUCCACCUGCAACACCAAGCUCACUCUCAAGCAUUGAUUGCAGGAGAGAUGGCAGUUUGUUCACCUUGAUCUCUUACCUGGAAUCCUGACCUGCUCUGGAGCAGCAGCUACCAUGAUGGCAAACCCAGAAGAAUUAACACAGAUCUUAAGGCAACAGGGGUUCAAACCAGGUAAACUGUCCCUGUAAUGACAAGUAAGUGACUAUGGUUAGAUACAUUUGUAAAAUGUAAAAACAGACAUUUUUCAGAAGCUGUGAAUAAAUACAGUGGCUGACUAAUGAGGUGCAUUGACUUAAAUGAAGAAGCUUUCUGUAAAAUACUGAUAUAAUCUGUUAGAAUUAUUAUAAUUGGAGAAAUUAAUAUUGUGGGAAGGUGAACCACCAGCUUCCCACAGGUGGGAGUAGGGAGAUCCAGAUCCACACUAGGAUGGACGGAGAGUGAUUUGCAGGUGAAGAUGAGGAGCAGAAGUUCUUACUGUUAAUGGAGAUGACACAUGUCUGUGGAGGAGAUGGUGAUGGAAGGUUUGACAGGCAGGCAGAGCUUGAUCCCCCUUCAAGCUUGAUCCCCCCCAAGGCAGAGCUUUGGGGGAUCAAAGAUUCCUCCAGAGUCAAAGACAGGAUCAAAGAUAGGAGGAGUCUGAGAAACCCUCAGACUCCUCCUGUUCACGUAGGAGUUGUCUGCGGAGUGGAAUGGGGACAAGGAGGAAGCCGGAGGGAAUGUUGAAGCAGCAAGCGGUGACGAGGAACUGGAACCAGGAACUCCUGAGAAGAUUCUCAACAGAGAAACCAACUGCAAAGAAGAACAACGAGGUGCAAAGUAAAUAUUGGGCUAGCUGCUCCUCUAGAUACUCCUCCUGGUUGCCACCUGAUGAACUCCAAUCCUGCUUGUCGCACCCUGCAAAAGGAGAAGGUGGGAUGCCUCUGAAGAGUUCUCUGGAAGGCAUCUGGCUUCACAUGUACCUUUUCAGCUGUUGCCUCAUAAUGUGGAAGAGCUAUGAAUCUAUUCUAAACUCCGCCUUGGCCAAACUCCUCAGUGUGCCCUCAAUAAUUCCAUUCUGAUGGAAAUUUGUUUAGUUAUUUAGACCUAAGAAAUUUGAGUGACUUUCAGAGUGACCCUGCAAAAGUGUUAUUACAUUCCAACAAGAAGCUUCUAUGUUUGUUAUUGUGAUUUUAUGUGAUAGAGCCUCAAAAAGGAGUGUAUAACUGAGAAAUGAAAGAAAAUUACAAAGAAAAAUCAGAAAAGUGUGCAUGCUUGUGAGAAAACUAUAUUUAUGUUCUACCCCCUUUACAACUGAUAAAAUCCAGCGGCACCAAAUGUCUUCAGAAGUUAUAACUAGUAAGAAAAAAAGUGCGUAACUGGGUGAUGACAGUUGUUCAAUGAAGGCCUCAAUGGUUGUUGAACACUGCAGAUGAAGUUGUGGAAAAGUUUAAAACAACAAUACCUUAUAUGGUUAUGCGUUAAGCUUUGAGCUUUUCAUGCAUCUACGCUCAAUCCGUCCUCUAAGACAAUGGAAAGAAUAAGACACAAAUGUAAACUUAUCAGGACAUGGACAUCUACCUAAACUUACAAUCUUAGCAAUCAGAAAAUCAACUAACAGGCGUGUAGAGUAGCAAAGAUCAGUAGUUGUUGGAGAAUCCUUUGACAGGAUAACCUCAUGCCUCUACUAAUCCAGCCUUCAUCGCAGAGUGUUGAGAAGUGGUCCAUAAGAGGUCCCAUAGGUGAACACAUGAACACAUGAAUACAUGUAAAAAAAGAUAAUCUGGUUAUAUGAGACUGAAUAAAACUAGACAAAUAAAACAUGGUGGUGGCAGUAUUAUGCUGUGGGGGUGUUAGCUUUGUGAAAAUUAUUGAUGUUAAGUUAGCCAGUUAAAUCUGUGACCAAGAAAACCCCCUGAUACGCUGAAACACACCAGAAACAAAUUGGACUCAUUUAAAUAAAUAUUUUCACUUGACCACUUUGUUUUCUUGGUCAAAGGAAAGAGUCAAAUAAACACUUUUCAUAAUUCUGUAGCUUAUAGUUGAACAUUAGGACAAUGUGCUGCAUCCUGAAAUAGGAGAUACGACCAAAAACAAUUGGAAGCUCUUUCAGCAAACCACUGGUAAUGGAUCAUUGAAACAGAAACAGAUUAGCAGCUAAAAAAAGCUCUUAUAAUAUAGGUAGAACGUGCCAAAGUGGUUUAUAGUAAUCAAAAAUGAUCAAAAAUGAGUGUUUCUUGGCCGAAGCUUAAAAGCCACACAUGUUAACUGUAGCAUGUGGUGAAAACCUCACUGUGUCAUGUCCUCUGACUCCCCUGUUGCCUGUCUCUCUUUGAGCUUUCUAACUUUCUUAAUAAGCAUGUCCUGCUGUAAUCACCAUAAUAUAUUAAGCAUAAUCAGGUGUGCUAAUGAGGUCGUAAUUAUAAUAAUUCACGCAUUAAUUAGCUAAUAUUUCUCUGUCAGCGCAUAACUUUAACCAGCCAACAUAAUUUGUAAUGGCGGAACCAAAAUCACACACACCUGUGCCAGGGAAAAAUGGAAGCAGCACUGCCUUCAUGAGGCUAAAGUAAAGGAUCAAGGUUAUGGGUCAUUCAUCAUCUAAUGAUCAUAGUGACACUCUUGCAAAAAUGUGUAUUGAAUGCAAUCAUGAUGCUGGAAUUUAGGAGUCAAUAUUUAGUGGGUCCUGAGUACAAGGAAAUUAUCUAAUAUAUUCUUUGCAUUAUAAAAUGUGCUCCAUAUCAAUUUCUGUUUUAGCGGGAUACUGAAGUGUUUGGAUAAAUGUGAUGUCAGUGUUCUAAUUAGAUGUUUCCACUCUUCCCAGAUGAUGGAUAAACACUUAAAUGUAUGUUUUAACCAUGGCAAAGUUAUGUUACUACCAUCCUCUGGUGUUCAUGGGUUAGUGCUUAUCCCACCCAGCAUGAACUUAAGUUGCUGUUUGCUCCCUUCUACCCAUUAUGGCUUGAUUGGUCUAACCGCUGCAUUUGGGUGGGGUAGACUCCACAUUCACAUCAUGGCAUCCGACAGACUGAUGGAAUCACACAGUGGUUUUCUCUUAACUGGAUCAAAUUUUAUGCAGAUUAAUAUUUGCCAAUGUUGUAUUGAAAACAAUAUUGUUCAGCCAAUCACACUCGUUACAAUAGGCGUCAUAAGGUUGAUUAUGCAAAUCUGAGUGUGCCCAACACUGAUUGGCUCUUGGCUCUCAAACCACAGACGGCGGAUUGGUGGCUGGCCUGUCGGAGAUGACGGCUAUAAAAGACAUUGACAGACUUUCUGCCAUCCGCCUUCUGCCUCUCCCAAGCAACCACACUGUUUGUUCCUGUGUUGGUUUGCGAUGGAAAAUAAGACAAAGUCCAGCCAUUGUAGAGCUCUAAAUCUUUGCUUUUUAAUGCAGUUCUUUGGACAUUGCACUACAGUUCUCAAACUGACAAGCCUUCCAAACAACAGGAGGGAGCGUCCCCUCUGAUUCAAACCACCUGGCUUUUAAAGCAUGGCCAGGACUAAUUAAGGGGUGGAGACAACAAUUACAUUUCCAGGUAGAAGAAAGAACAAACAUUUGUGCUAAACAAUAUUCCUAACAAUUUAACAUAAACAAAGACAAGCUGGGACCAAACAAAAGUAAAAAAAAAAAACAACAAACAUCUCUCCUCCUUCUCAAACAAUGGACCUUCCCAGUAAGGUAGAUUGGAAACACCAGGUCCUAGUCAGCACUGCUCAUGGGCGCGCCUCCAUGGCAACACAUGACCUCAAAGAAAAGAGAGGAUGAUCAAAACAAAAUAUUAAGUAAAGCAACAAUACAGGAAGCACAAAAAAUAACAACACCUGUAAUGGAGGCGGUAAAUCCCUCACAUCCUGGUAAACACCCUUCCUUGCAAAAGUUCAUUAAAGAGUUCACUGGAGUGAACUGCCUUUUAUUUUUGCUCUUUUCUCAUGUUUAUCUUAUUAAGGGAGGUAGAUUUUUGUCAUUUUAUUUACUUUCAAAUAGGUAAGUUUUGGUGAAUAUUUCAUCCUUUACAUAAAUAUGUUUAUAAGAUGUUCAGAACUGUGUGUGUUGGCUGCUUGAGAUCUGAGGAGGAUGGAUCCUUCAUGCUAAGAUCUGGCUACCCAUAGGCAGGUCUUGGAAUGCUACAGAUCUCAACAUGACCAUUAAAAGUUAGCAAUAGAUACAUUACCUGGAAUUGAUUUCAUAUUAAUUUCUUACUGUUGAAAUGUUUAUAUAUUUUCUAGAAAUAAAAGAUAAAUUCUCAGAUAUUUUAUUGUGUUUUAAAACUUGGAAAAAACCUGAGAAAGUACCUUGGAGGCAUAUCUUGAUAAAGUUAAUCAGCUGUUGAAAAAAAUUUUCCAACAGUUGUGAGGGGAUUAUCUUGUUGUUGCUAAAACACAAUAUUCUGUAUCUGAAACUAUAUUGUUCCUGUUCCAUUUUUGCUUUCAAAGUACAGUAAGCUGUUUUAUCAAAGCACUUUUUGGUGCCCUUUAUUCCACAGGCAAUGGCCAUGUGAUGUGGACAAAGGUGGCAUGGCCCCUCUGACUGGUCUUCUGCAAUAGAGCAAACAUACACAAUAAACUGUGGCACAUUUCUUUCUCACACCUGUUUUUCUCAGAACCAGCAUUGACUUCUUCUGAAUUUUGAGCAACAGCAGCUCACCAGUUGGCCAUCUGGGCAUUGGAAGCUGGUCAGAAAAUGACUGGACAGGAUGAAAAAGUUUCUAACUUCCAAGAACAAAUAUUAAAUACGUGUCAGAAAGUCUGGAGAACUAUUGAUCGUUCACUUUUAAAAGGGCAUAAUAAAGUUGGGUUCCUUGGAAGCAAUUUUAUAUAAAGCGAUUAAACCCGUGCAUACUAUAUUUGUAACUGUGUCUGUCUUCCACAUAAAGUCUAUCGUUUCUAAUUAAAAUACAGAACAUUUGUCAUUCAGUAAACAAACAUGUUUUCAGGAGAGUACACAGAGUACAAAGGGAGCAGGAAUCAUGUGUGACAUCUGAUGUGCUCAUUUUUCAGCAAUGUCUCACAUUCAGACACUAAUCCCUGCAAGCUGGCCAGUGCAACGACAGCCCCAAAGCGUUGGCCAACACACGGACAUGAUUUGGUUUUCAUGUGGGCCUUGCCUUUGGGAGAAGCUCAACCGGAAAAUCAAUUUCUCAUAAUUACGAGAGAGAAUUAAUGUCCAUAAUUCACUGAGCGGCGCUAUAAGACACAGACUGUGAAAGGCCUGAUAAGCCUUUGCAGGGCUGUCGAUUGAAAAUAUUGAUUAGGUGUUUACAUACAUUUCAUAACUCCUCUGUUUGGUAUAGUAUGGAUACCAGGGGGUUGACAAUAAACUCAAAGCCCUAAGAAAGGGAGAAAGGUGUAGUCGCUUGUGGUUUUCUCAAUUUGUUUUCACCUGGGACAGAAAAAUCCAUGGUUCAAAAAUGUAAAUCCUGAAACAUCAAUAUUGAGCUAUGACUCAAUCUCCUCGGAGCAGUAACUAUAAUCAGAUUAAAUUUUUCCAGUUACAUUUUUUAAUCUCAUCUCAUUACAGAAUCAAAGGUUUGCAUUCAAAAUGUCUGCAGCAAACAUCAGUGUCAUGUUUAUUCAUGUGAGCCCUGAGCCAAACCGAAUGGGCCAUCGAUCAACACUCUUCAGACAGCCACGUCUGUCUUCUCUGCCCUCUUUUUCUUUUUUUUUUUCAUGUUGCCCAACACCUCUUACCUCCACCAGAGAGCAGAGUCCGUUUACUGAUGCACGAAGCCACAAAGGGGCUCCACAGAAAACAAGCGCUGCCACCCCACAACUCUCGUUGUUGCUGUCAUGGAUCAUCAAGAAUUCAUUGUCAUUACUUCCCCUGUUACACACAAUAAUAGAGCAGACAGGGGUGCUAGUUUUGAUUGGUAGUUAAGACACAUUGUGCUCAGAACACCUGCUGACUGAUAAUUGUGCAAACUUUGCAAGACCGAUACAAUCAUACUUUGUUGCUGUGCUCACUGUCACGCGUGCAGUCAGUCAUGGUUAGA